CUAGAAAAUUUAAAAUUUUGCAAAACAAUAACUUGUCUUUCAAAUAAAGGCAACAGUAGUAUACCGCUGUUCAAAACUCAUAAAUCCAUGGACAAAAAACAAAAUCGGGGUAACAAACUAAAACCGAGGGACACGCAUUAAAUAUAAGAGGAGAACAACGACACAACACCGAAACGGACAGAGCAUCAGACAAAACACCAC
rnacentral:lncRNA from 1 species